GCGGCGUGCCUAACACAUGCAAGUCGAACGAGAAAGUGGAGCAAUCCAUGAGUAAAGUGGCGACCGGGUGAGUAACGCGUGACUAACCUACCUCCGAGUGGGGAAUAACUCCGGGAAACCGGGGCUAAUACCGCAUAACAUCGCAAGAUCAAAGCAGCAAUGCGCUUGGAGAGGGGGUCGCGGCUGAUUAGCUUGUUGGCGGGGUAACGGCCCACCAAGGCGAAGAUCGGUAUCCGGCCUGAGAGGGCGCACGGACACACUGGAACUGAAACACGGUCCAGACUCCUACGGGAGGCAGCAGUGGGGAAUUUUGCGCAAUGGGGGAAACCCUGACGCAGCAACGCCGCGUGGAGGAUGAAGCCCUUUGGGGCGUAAACUCCUUUCGACUCGGAAGAUAAUGACGGUACGAGUGGAAGAAGCACCGGCUAACUCUGUGCCAGCAGCCGCGGUAAUACAGAGGGUGCGAGCGUUGUUCGGAAUUAUUGGGCGUAAAGGGCGCGUAUGCGGUGCGGUAAGUCACCUGUGAAAUCUCCUGGCUUAACUGGGAGUCUGCAGGCGAUACUACCGUGCUG
rnacentral:rRNA from 1 species